GUAACAGAUGUUGUUUCUGUUGGAGAACCUGUUGUUGUGGUAGCCCCUGUGUUGAUGGGUGUAGUUGACAUUGAUGUGAGAUCAGGUGAUGUUGUUGUUUGAACAGCUGGUGUUGUGGGGGUUAAUGAAAUUGUUGUGACAGCUUCUAUUGGUGUUGUGGGACCAGAUGUGGUAGAUAUUUUAGCAGGAGUGGUUGUGGUGGCAGCAACUGUUGUUGUUGCUCCAGACUCUAUUAUUGUGGGAGGAGAAGAAAUUGUUGUGACAUCAAGUGAUGUUGUUGUUGCAACAGAUGUUGUUGUGGGAUUUGCUGAAAUUGUUGUGACAGAAGCUGAUGUGAUUAUGGGACCAGAUGUGGUAGUCAUAUCAGCAGGUGUGGUUGCUGUUUCUGUAAAAACUGUUGUUCCCAACGUUGUUGUUGUUGGUAGAGCUGUUGUGGUCAUUGAGGGAACAGAUGUGUUUUCUGUUGGAGAACCUGUUGUUGUGGUAGCCCCUGUGUUGAUGGGUGUAGUUGACAUUGAUGUGAGAUCAGGUGAUGUUGUUGUUUGAACAGCUGGUGUUGUGGGGGUUAAUGAAAUUGUUGUGACAGCUUGUGUUUGUGUUGUGGGACCAGAUAUGGUAGAUAUUUUAGCAGGAGUGGUUGUUGUGGCAGUAACUGUUGUUUUUACUCCAGACUCUGUUGUUGUGGGAGUAGAAGAAAUUGUUGUGACAUCAAGUGAUGUUGUUGUUGCAACAGAUGUUGUUGUGGGAUUUUCUGAAAUUGUUGUGACAGAAGCUGAUGUGGUUAUGGGACCAGAUGUGGUAGUCAUUUCAGCAGGUGUGGUUGCUGUUUCUGUAAAACCUGUUGUUCCAAACGCUGUUGUUGUUGGUAGAGCUGUUGUGGUCAUUGAGGUAACAGAUGUUGUUUCUGUUGGAGAACCUGUUGUUGUGGUAGCCCCUGUGUUGAUGGGUGUAGUUGACAUUGAUGUGAGAUCAGGUGAUGUUGUUGUUUGAACAGCUAGUGUUGUGGGGGUUAAUGAAAUUGUUGUGACAGCUUCUGUUGGUGUUGUGGGCCCAGAUGUGGUAGAUAUUUUAGCAGGAGUGGUUGUGGUGGCAGCAACUGUUGUUGUUGCUCCAGACUCUGUUGUUGUGGGAGUAGAAGAAAUUGUUGUGACAUCAAGUGAUGUUGUUGUUGCAACAGAUGUUGUUGUGGGAUUUUCUGAAAUUGUUGUGACAGAAGCUGAUGUGGUUAUGGGACCAGAUGUGGUAGUCAUAUCAGCAGGUGUGGAUGCUGUUUCUGUAAAACCUGUUGUUCCAAACGCUGUUGUUCUUGGUAGAGCUGUUGUGGUCAUUGAGUGAACAGAUGUGGUUUCUGCUGGUGAACCUGUUGUUGUUGUAGCCCCUGUGUUGAUGGGUGUAGUUGACAUUGAUGUGAGAUCAGGUGAUGUUGUUGUUUGAACAGCUGGUGUUGUGGGGGUUAAUGAAAUUGUUGUGACAGC
ensembl:lncRNA